rnacentral:rRNA from 1 species
AUGAACGCUGGCGGCGUGCCUCAUACCUGCAAGUCGAGCGAACAGACGAGGAGCUUGCUCCUCUGACGUUAGCGGCGGACGGGUGAGUAACACGUGGAUAACCUACCUAUAAGACUGGGAUAACUUCGGGAAACCGGAGCUAAUACCGGAUAAUAUAUUUAACCGCAUGGUUCAAUAGUGAAAGACGGUUUUGCUGUCACUUAUAGAUGGAUCCGCGCCGCAUUAGCUAGUUGGUAAGGUAACGGCUUACCAAGGCAACGAUGCGUAGCCGACCUGAGAGGGUGAUCGGCCACACUGGAACGGAGACACGGUCCAGACGCCUACGGGAGGCAGCAGUAGGGAAUCUUCCGCAAUGGGCGAAAGCAUGACGGAGCAACGCCGCGUGAGUGAUGAAGGUCUUCGGAUCGUAAAACUCUGUUAUUAGGGAAGAACAAAUGUGUAAGUAACUAUGCACGUCUUGACGGUACCUAAUCAGAAAGCCACGGCUAACUACGUG